CGGUGGAGCAUGUGGUUAAUUCGAAGCAACGCGAAGAACCUUACCAGGUCUUGACAUCCCGAUGCUAUUUCUAGAGAUAGAAAGUUACUUCGGUACAUCGGUGACAGGUGGUGCAUGGUUGUCGUCAGCUCGUGUCGUGAGAUGUUGGGUUAAGUCCCGCAACGAGCGCAACCCCUAUUGUUAGUUGCCAUCAUUCAGUUGGGCACUCUAGCGAGACUGCCGGUAAUAAACCGGAGGAAGUGGGGAUGACGUCAAAUCAUCAUGCCCCUUAUGACCUGGGCUACACACGUGCUACAAUGGUUGGUACAACGAGUUGCGAGUCGGUGACGGCGAGCUAAUCUCUUAAAGCCAAUCUCAGUUCGGAUUGUAGGCUGCAACUCGCCUACAUGAAGUCGGAAUCGCUAGUAAUCGCGGAUCAGCACGCCCGCGUCGAUACGUUCCGGCCUU
rnacentral:rRNA from 1 species